GACGAACGCUGGCGGCGUGCCUAAUACAUGCAAGUAGAACGCUGAGGACUGGUGCUUGCACUGGUCUAAGGAGUUGCGAACGGGUGAAUAACGCGUAGGUAACCUACCUCAUAGCGGGGGAUAACUAUUGGAAACGAUAGCUAAUACCGCAUAUUUCUAAUCGUCUCCUGACGAAUGGAAGAAAGGUGGCUUCGGCUACUGCUUAUGGAUGGACCCGCGGCGUAUUAGCUAGUUGGUGAGGUAAUGGCUCACCAAGGCGAUGAUACGUAGCCGACCUGAGAGGGUGAUCGGCCACACUGGGACUGAGGCACGGCCCAG
rnacentral:rRNA from 1 species